UACAGAGGGCGCGAGCGUUUGUCCGGAAUCACUGGGCGUAAAGGGCGCGUAGGCGGCCUGUUAAGUCGAACGUGAAAUCCCCGGGCUCAACCCGGGAACUGCGUCCGAUACUGGCAGGCUUGAAUCCGGGAGAGGGAUGCGGAAUUCCAGGUGUAGCGGUGAAAUGCGUAGAUAUCAGGAGGAACACCGGUGGCGAAGGCGGCUUUCUGGACAGAUACCGACGCUGAGACACGAAAGCUAGGGGAGCAAACAGG
rnacentral:rRNA from 1 species